rnacentral:rRNA from 1 species
GACGAACGCUGGCGGCGUGCUUAACACAUGCAAGUCGAGCGGUAAGGCCCCUUCGGGGGUACACGAGCGGCGAACGGGUGAGUAACACGUGAGCAAUCUGCCCAUCACUUCGGGAUAACUCCGGGAAACCGAAGCUAAUACCGAAUACGACCACCUCCGGCAUCGGAUGGUGGUGGAAAGUUCCGGCGGUGAUGGAUGAGCUCGCGGCCUAUCAGCUUGUUGGUGGGGUAAUGGCCUACCAAGGCUUCGACGGGUAGCCGGCCUGAGAGGGUGACCGGCCACACUGGGACUGAGACACGGCCCAGACUCCUACGGGAGGCAGCAGUGGGGAAUAUUGGACAAUGGGCGAAAGCCUGAUCCAGCAACGCCGCGUGAGGGAUGACGGCCUUCGGGUUGUAAACCUCUUUCAGCAGGGACGAAGCGCAAGUGACGGUACCUGCAGAAGAAGCACCGGCCAACUACGUGCCAGCCGCCGCAGUAAGAC